GCAGCAUAAUUUAGGCCUCGGAGGAGCUGCCGUUGUCACGCUGUACAAGAUGGGCUUUCCUGAAGCUGCCAGUUCUUUAAGAACUCAUCAAAUUGAGGCUGCUCCAACCAGCUCUGCUGUUAAUGGAUUUAAGGCAAAUCUUGUCUUUAAGGAGAUUGAGAAGAAGCUUGAAGAUGAAGGAGAGCAGUUUGUGAAGAAAAUUGGUGGUAUUUUUGCCUUCAAGGUGAAGGAUGGCCCUGGGGGUAAAGAAGCCACCUGGGUGGUGGACGUGAAGAACAGCGAAGGAUCUGUGCUGCCUAACUCAGAUAAGAAGGCUGACUGCACAAUCACAAUGGCUGACUCGGACUUACUGGCUUUGAUGACUGGUAAAAUGAAUCCUCAGACGGCCUUCUUUCAAGGCAAAUUGAAAAUCAACGGCAAUAUGGGUCUGGCUAUGAAGUUACAAAAUCUUCAGCUUCAGCCUGGCAAAGCUAAGCUGUGAACGCCCUUUGCCUCCUUUGAAAAUCAAGAUGAGAUAUAUAGAUAUAUAUCCAUAUAUUUCAUUGUCAGAACUUAGAUUGAAACUAUACAUUGGGAAAUAGCAUGAGAUUUGUUUUUAAAUGGGUUGAUCAAUUCUGUUUUUUCUAAGCACUGGAUGAAUAGAACCUGAUGGUUUACGACUGCUUUGCUGAGUUGCAAACAAUUGUGCAUUACAGAGUUAAUGUGGUAAUUAUGGUUUGGGGGUAAAAUUGAGUUUUAGAAUAAAGUUAGAAAUAGCAAAAUACAAAACGUAUGUAAACAGAAGCUCUCAGUUUGCUAGUAAUGUAUAUUUGAAGAUUAUUCUGCUGAAAUUUCAAGUUUUCCUUGGGAGAAUGAGGGAAGAAACAAAAUACCAUUAUUAGCUUACCAGUAAUUAAUAUUGUGCAUUUAAUGACAAAAUUCUGUACUGGGAUUUUUGUUUUUAAAAAGAUAAACUUUAAAAAUUUGAAUUUCAUGCCAUCAAAGUGGCAUUUUCUUCCCAAAUCAAAGAAAUGUGAUCAAAGCUUGGGAGUAAAAAUCUACCACUGAACCCAGGCCUAUUUUUUAAAAUAAAAAUAUUUUUAAAUGA